ACAUACGACCAUAGGGUGUGGAAAACAGGGCUUCCCGUCCGCUCAGCCGUACUUAAGCCAGACGCCGGUGAGUUAGUAGUUGGGUGGGUGACCACCAGCGAAUCCUCACUGUUGUAUGUU
rnacentral:rRNA from 1 species